rnacentral:rRNA from 1 species
AUUGAACGCUGGCGGCAGGCCUAACACAUGCAAGUCGAGCGGCAGCGGAAGGAAGCUUGCUUCCUUGCCGGCGAGCGGCGGACGGGUGAGUAAGGUAUGGGGAUCUGGCCGAAGGUGGGGGAUAACCACUGGAAACGGUGGCUAAUACCGCAUAAUCUCUAAGGAGCAAAGUGGGGGACCGUUCAGGCCUCACACCUUCGGAUGAACCCAUAUGAAAUUAGCUAGUAGGUGGGGUAAUGGCUCACCUAGGCGACGAUCUCUAGCUGGUCUGAGAGGAUGAUCAGCCACACUGGGACUGAGACACGGCCCAGACUCCUACGGGAGGCAGCAGUGGGGAAUAUUGCACAAUGGGCGCAAGCCUGAUGCAGCCAUGCCGCGUGUAUGAAGAAGGCCUUCGGGUUGUAAAGUACUUUCAGUCGUGAGGAAGGUGUUAAGGUUAAUAACCUUAGCAAUUGACGUUAGCGACAGAAGAAGCACCGGCUAACUCCGUGCCAGCCGCCGCCGUAAAAC